GACAGAGGGUGCAAACGUUGUUCGGAAUUACUGGGCGUAAAGCGCGCGCAGGCGGUCUUCCAAGUCAGUGGUGAAAGCCCGGAGCUCAACUCCGGAACUGCCAUUGAAACUGUAAGACUUGAGGACGGGGAGAGGUGAGUGGAAUUCCCAGUGUAGAGGUGAAAUUCGUAGAUAUUGGGAAGAACACCAGUGGCGAAGGCGGCUCACUGGCUCGUAUCUGACGCUCAGGCGCGACAGCGUGGGGAUCAAACAGG
rnacentral:rRNA from 1 species